rnacentral:rRNA from 1 species
UACGAAGGGGGGCUAGCGUUGCUCGGAAUUACUGGGCGUAAAGCGCACGUAGGCGGAUUGUUAAGUCGGGGGUGAAAUCCUGGAGCUCAACUCCAGAACUGCCUUCGAUACUGGCGAUCUCGAGUUCGGGAGAGGUGAGUGGAACUGCGAGUGUAGAGGUGAAAUUCGUAGAUAUUCGCAAGAACACCAGUGGCGAAGGCGGCUCACUGGCCCGAUACUGA